AGUUUGAUCGGAAUCGAUGAGGACGAUAAAGAAAAGGAGAUGCAACCACCUAGCACGCAUCCCAAAUGCGGAACAAAUACAGACCAUGGAGAAACUGAGACUCACAGAUCUGCAUUGAAAAACCCUUUUGGGAAGGCUUAUGGUGGCACAUAAACUUGGGUAGCCAUAGGUUUUGGGUCAACAGGCGUUAUUUCUACUGUUGGGCAUAUAUAACUGGCUGGUGGCUCUUCAAUUUCAGAUUCUUCCAGUGUAGUAUCAUUGGUUUUCCCCCAUCUCAAUGUUUGAUCUACAAAGCACUCCUUUCAACCCUAUAGUUUGCAAUUGGUUGAUUAGGGAAAUUUGAAUUGGAAUUGUUUUCUUGUUCUACCAAUUGAUACUUGAGCUGUCCAAUUUGGUGCGCAGAUUAUCGAUUGAGUUUAUUUUCAACCA